rnacentral:sRNA from 1 species
GCAUAGCCCUGAUGGAAGUGGCAUCCUUUUUCUUGAACUUCUGACGAAGGAAGAAGCUCAAGAAAAAGAUAUAACGGACAGCAGGAAAUAGC